UUAAGCGACUAAGCGUACACGGUGGAUGCCCUGGCAGUCAGAGGCGAUGAAGGACGUGCUAAUCUGCGAUAAGCGUCGGUAAGGUGAUAUGAACCGUUAUAACCGGCGAUUUCCGAAUGGGGAAACCCAGUGUGAUUCGUCACACUAUCAUUAACUGAAUCCAUAGGUUAAUGAGGCGAACCGGGGGAACUGAAACAUCUAAGUACCCCGAGGAAAAGAAAUCAACCGAGAUUCCCCCAGUAGCGGCGAGCGAACGGGGAGCAGCCCAGAGCCUGAAUCAGUGUGUGUGUUAGUGGAAGCGUCUGGAAAGGCGCGCGAUACAGGGUGACAGCCCCGUACACAAAAAUGCACAUGCUGUGAGCUCGAUGAGUAGGGCGGGACACGUGGUAUCCUGUCUGAAUAUGGGGGGACCAUCCUCCAAGGCUAAAUACUCCUGACUGACCGAUAGUGAACCAGUACCGUGAGGGAAAGGCGAAAAGAACCCCGGCGAGGGGAGUGAAAAAGAACCUGAAACCGUGUACGUACGAGCAGUGGGAGCCUCUUUAUGGGGUGACUGCGUACCUUUUGUAUAAUGGGUCAGCGACUUAUAUUCUGUAGCAAGGUUAACCGAAUAGGGGAGCCGAAGGGAAACCGAGCCUUAACUGGGCGUUAAGUUGCAGGGUAUAGACCCGAAACCCGGUGAUCUAGCCAUGGGCAGGUUGAAGGUUGGGUAACACUAACUGGAGGACCGAACCGACUAAUGUUGAAAAAUUAGCGGAUGACUUGUGGCUGGGGGUGAAAGGCCAAUCAAACCGGGAGAUAGCUGGUUCUCCCCGAAAGCUAUUUAGGUAGCGCCUCGUGAAUUCAUCUCCGGGGGUAGAGCACUGUUUCGGCAAGGGGGUCAUCCCGACUUACCAACCCGAUGCAAACUGCGAAUACCGGAGAAUGUUAUCACGGGAGACACACGGCGGGUGCUAACGUCCGUCGUGAAGAGGGAAACAACCCAGACCGCCAGCUAAGGUCCCAAAGUCAUGGUUAAGUGGGAAACGAUGUGGGAAGGCCCAGACAGCCAGGAUGUUGGCUUAGAAGCAGCCAUCAUUUAAAGAAAGCGUAAUAGCUCACUGGUCGAGUCGGCCUGCGCGGAAGAUGUAACGGGGCUAAACCAUGCACCGAAGCUGCGGCAGCGACACUAUGUGUUGUUGGGUAGGGGAGCGUUCUGUAAGCCUGCGAAGGUGUACUGUGAGGUAUGCUGGAGGUAUCAGAAGUGCGAAUGCUGACAUAAGUAACGAUAAAGCGGGUGAAAAGCCCGCUCGCCGGAAGACCAAGGGUUCCUGUCCAACGUUAAUCGGGGCAGGGUGAGUCGACCCCUAAGGCGAGGCCGAAAGGCGUAGUCGAUGGGAAACAGGUUAAUAUUCCUGUACUUGGUGUUACUGCGAAGGGGGGACGGAGAAGGCUAUGUUGGCCGGGCGACGGUUGUCCCGGUUUAAGCGUGUAGGCUGGUUUUCCAGGCAAAUCCGGAAAAUCAAGGCUGAGGCGUGAUGACGAGGCACUACGGUGCUGAAGCAACAAAUGCCCUGCUUCCAGGAAAAGCCUCUAAGCAUCAGGUAACAUCAAAUCGUACCCCAAACCGACACAGGUGGUCAGGUAGAGAAUACCAAGGCGCUUGAGAGAACUCGGGUGAAGGAACUAGGCAAAAUGGUGCCGUAACUUCGGGAGAAGGCACGCUGAUAUGUAGGUGAAGUCCCUCGCGGAUGGAGCUGAAAUCAGUCGAAGAUACCAGCUGGCUGCAACUGUUUAUUAAAAACACAGCACUGUGCAAACACGAAAGUGGACGUAUACGGUGUGACGCCUGCCCGGUGCCGGAAGGUUAAUUGAUGGGGUUAGCGCAAGCGAAGCUCUUGAUCGAAGCCCCGGUAAACGGCGGCCGUAACUAUAACGGUCCUAAGGUAGCGAAAUUCCUUGUCGGGUAAGUUCCGACCUGCACGAAUGGCGUAAUGAUGGCCAGGCUGUCUCCACCCGAGACUCAGUGAAAUUGAACUCGCUGUGAAGAUGCAGUGUACCCGCGGCAAGACGGAAAGACCCCGUGAACCUUUACUAUAGCUUGACACUGAACAUUGAGCCUUGAUGUGUAGGAUAGGUGGGAGGCUUUGAAGUGUGGACGCCAGUCUGCAUGGAGCCGACCUUGAAAUACCACCCUUUAAUGUUUGAUGUUCUAACGUUGGCCCCUGAUCGGGGUUGCGGACAGUGUCUGGUGGGUAGUUUGACUGGGGCGGUCUCCUCCUAAAGAGUAACGGAGGAGCACGAAGGUUGGCUAAUCCUGGUCGGACAUCAGGAGGUUAGUGCAAUGGCAUAAGCCAGCUUGACUGCGAGCGUGACGGCGCGAGCAGGUGCGAAAGCAGGUCAUAGUGAUCCGGUGGUUCUGAAUGGAAGGGCCAUCGCUCAACGGAUAAAAGGUACUCCGGGGAUAACAGGCUGAUACCGCCCAAGAGUUCAUAUCGACGGCGGUGUUUGGCACCUCGAUGUCGGCUCAUCACAUCCUGGGGCUGAAGUAGGUCCCAAGGGUAUGGCUGUUCGCCAUUUAAAGUGGUACGCGAGCUGGGUUUAGAACGUCGUGAGACAGUUCGGUCCCUAUCUGCCGUGGGCGCUGGAGAACUGAGGGGGGCUGCUCCUAGUACGAGAGGACCGGAGUGGACGCAUCACUGGUGUUCGGGUUGUCAUGCCAAUGGCACUGCCCGGUAGCUAAAUGCGGAAGAGAUAAGUGCUGAAAGCAUCUAAGCACGAAACUUGCUCCGAGAUGAGUUCUCCCUGACUCCUUGAGAGUCCUGAAGGAACGUUGAAGACGACGACGUUGAUAGGCCGGGUGUGUAAGCGCAGCGAUGCGUUGAGCUAACCGGUACUAAUGAACCGUGAGGCUUAACCUU
rnacentral:rRNA from 1 species